rnacentral:rRNA from 1 species
GACGAACGCUGGCGGCGUGCUUAACACAUGCAAGUCGAACGGAAGGGCCUGCUUUCCCUUGUGGAUUGCGGGUACUCGAGUGGCGAACGGGUGAGUAACACGUGAGUGAUCUGCCCCCAACUUGGGUAUAAGCCUGGGAAACUGGGUCUAAUUCCCGAUAGGACUGCAGGGUGGUGCCUGUGGUGGAAAACGAUUUUCUAGUGGUUGGGGAUGAGCUCGCGGCCUAUCAGCUUGUUGGUGGGGUAAUGGCCUACCAAGGCGGCGACGGGUAGCCGGCCUGAGAGGGUGGACGGCCACAUUGGGACUGAGAUACGGCCCAGACUCCUACGGGAGGCAGCAGUGGGGAAUAUUGCACAAUGGGCGGAAGCCUGAUGCAGCGACGCCGCGUGGGGGAUGACGGCCUUCGGGUUGUAAACUCCUUUCGACCGCGAGGAAGCCACCUGGUUGGAAGGGUGGUGACGGUAGUGGUAGAAGAAGCACCGGCUAACUACGU